UACAGAGGGGGCAAGCGUUGUUCGGAAUUACUGGGCGUAAAGAGCUCGUAGGCGGCUUGUCGCGUCGACUGUGAAAUCCCCGCGGCUCAACUGCGGGUCUGCAGUCGAUACGGGCAGGCUAGAGUUCGGUAGGGGAGACUGGAAUUCCUGGUGUAGCGGUGAAAUGGCGCAGAUAUCAGGAGGAACACCGGUGGCGAAGGCGGAUCUCUGGGCCAUUACUGACGCUGAGGAGCGAAAGCGUGGGGAGCGAACAG
rnacentral:rRNA from 1 species